GGGUUGUGAGGUUAAGCGACUAAGCGUACACGGUGGAUGCCCUGGCAGUCAGAGGCGAUGAAGGACGUGCUAAUCUGCGAUAAGCGUCGGUAAGGUGAUAUGAACCGUUAUAACCGGCGAUUUCCGAAUGGGGAAACCCAGUGUGUUUCGACACACUAUCAUUAACUGAAUCCAUAGGUUAAUGAGGCGAACCGGGGGAACUGAAACAUCUAAGUACCCCGAGGAAAAGAAAUCAACCGAGAUUCCCCAGUAGCGGCGAGCGAACGGGGAGGAGCCCAGAGCCUGAAUCAGUGUGUGUGUUAGUGGAAGCGUCUGGAAAGGCGCGCGAUACAGGGUGACAGCCCCGUACACAAAAAUGCACAUACUGUGAGCUCGAUGAGUAGGGCGGGACACGUGGUAUCCUGUCUGAAUAUGGGGGACCAUCCUCCAAGGCUAAAUACUCCUGACUGACCGAUAGUGAACCAGUACCGUGAGGGAAAGGCGAAAAGAACCCCGGCGAGGGGAGUGAAAAAGAACCUGAAACCGUGUACGUACAAGCAGUGGGAGCCUCUUUUAUGGGGUGACUGCGUACCUUUUGUAUAAUGGGUCAGCGACUUAUAUUCUGUAGCAAGGUUAACCGAAUAGGGGAGCCGAAGGGAAACCGAGUCUUAACUGGGCGUUAAGUUGCAGGGUAUAGACCCGAAACCCGGUGAUCUAGCCAUGGGCAGGUUGAAGGUUGGGUAACACUAACUGGAGGACCGAACCGACUAAUGUUGAAAAAUUAGCGGAUGACUUGUGGCUGGGGGUGAAAGGCCAAUCAAACCGGGAGAUAGCUGGUUCUCCCCGAAAGCUAUUUAGGUAGCGCCUCGUGAAUUCAUCUCCGGGGGUAGAGCACUGUUUCGGCAAGGGGGUCAUCCCGACUUACCAACCCGAUGCAAACUGCGAAUACCGGAGAAUGUUAUCACGGGAGACACACGGCGGGUGCUAACGUCCGUCGUGAAGAGGGAAACAACCCAGACCGCCAGCUAAGGUCCCAAAGUCAUGGUUAAGUGGGAAACGAUGUGGGAAGGCCCAGACAGCCAGGAUGUUGGCUUAGAAGCAGCCAUCAUUUAAAGAAAGCGUAAUAGCUCACUGGUCGAGUCGGCCUGCGCGGAAGAUGUAACGGGGCUAAACCAUGCACCGAAGCUGCGGCAGCGACGCUUAUGCGUUGUUGGGUAGGGGAGCGUUCUGUAAGCCUGUGAAGGUGUACUGUGAGGUAUGCUGGAGGUAUCAGAAGUGCGAAUGCUGACAUAAGUAACGAUAAAGCGGGUGAAAAGCCCGCUCGCCGGAAGACCAAGGGUUCCUGUCCAACGUUAAUCGGGGCAGGGUGAGUCGACCCCUAAGGCGAGGCCGAAAGGCGUAGUCGAUGGGAAACAGGUUAAUAUUCCUGUACUUGGUGUUACUGCGAAGGGGGGACGGAGAAGGCUAUGUUGGCCGGGCGACGGUUGUCCCGGUUUAAGCGUGUAGGCUGGUUUUCCAGGCAAAUCCGGAAAAUCAAGGCUGAGGCGUGAUGACGAGGCACUACGGUGCUGAAGCAACAAAUGCCCUGCUUCCAGGAAAAGCCUCUAAGCAUCAGGUAACAUCAAAUCGUACCCCAAACCGACACAGGUGGUCAGGUAGAGAAUACCAAGGCGCUUGAGAGAACUCGGGUGAAGGAACUAGGCAAAAUGGUGCCGUAACUUCGGGAGAAGGCACGCUGAUAUGUAGGUGAAGCGACUUGCUCGUGGAGCUGAAAUCAGUCGAAGAUACCAGCUGGCUGCAACUGUUUAUUAAAAACACAGCACUGUGCAAACACGAAAGUGGACGUAUACGGUGUGACGCCUGCCCGGUGCCGGAAGGUUAAUUGAUGGGGUUAGCGGUAACGCGAAGCUCUUGAUCGAAGCCCCGGUAAACGGCGGCCGUAACUAUAACGGUCCUAAGGUAGCGAAAUUCCUUGUCGGGUAAGUUCCGACCUGCACGAAUGGCGUAAUGAUGGCCAGGCUGUCUCCACCCGAGACUCAGUGAAAUUGAACUCGCUGUGAAGAUGCAGUGUACCCGCGGCAAGACGGAAAGACCCCGUGAACCUUUACUAUAGCUUGACACUGAACAUUGAGCCUUGAUGUGUAGGAUAGGUGGGAGGCUUUGAAGUGUGGACGCCAGUCUGCAUGGAGCCGGCCUUGAAAUACCACCCUUUAAUGUUUGAUGUUCUAACGUUGGCCCCUGAUCGGGGUUGCGGACAGUGUCUGGUGGGUAGUUUGACUGGGGCGGUCUCCUCCUAAAGAGUAACGGAGGAGCACGAAGGUUGGCUAAUCCUGGUCGGACAUCAGGAGGUUAGUGCAAUGGCAUAAGCCAGCUUGACUGCGAGCGUGACGGCGCGAGCAGGUGCGAAAGCAGGUCAUAGUGAUCCGGUGGUUCUGAAUGGAAGGGCCAUCGCUCAACGGAUAAAAGGUACUCCGGGGAUAACAGGCUGAUACCGCCCAAGAGUUCAUAUCGACGGCGGUGUUUGGCACCUCGAUGUCGGCUCAUCACAUCCUGGGGCUGAAGUAGGUCCCAAGGGUAUGGCUGUUCGCCAUUUAAAGUGGUACGCGAGCUGGGUUUAGAACGUCGUGAGACAGUUCGGUCCCUAUCUGCCGUGGGCGCUGGAGAACUGAGGGGGGCUGCUCCUAGUACGAGAGGACCGGAGUGGACGCAUCACUGGUGUUCGGGUUGUCAUGCCAAUGGCACUGCCCGGUAGCUAAAUGCGGAAGAGAUAAGUGCUGAAAGCAUCUAAGCACGAAACUUGCCCCGAGAUGAGUUCUCCCUGAGACUUUAAGUCUCCUGAAGGAACGUUGAAGACGACGACGUUGAUAGGCCGGGUGUGUAAGCGCAGCGAUGCGUUGAGCUAACCGGUACUAAUGAACCGUGAGGCUUAACCUUACAACGCCGAAGGUGUUU
rnacentral:rRNA from 1 species